rnacentral:rRNA from 1 species
AUUGAACGCUGGCGGCAGGCCUAACACAUGCAAGUCGAACGGUAACAGAAAGCAGCUUGCUGCUUUGCUGACGAGUGGCGGACGGGUGAGUAAUGUCUGGGAAACUGCCUGAUGGAGGGGGAUAACUACUGGAAACGGUAGCUAAUACCGCAUAACGUCGCAAGACCAAAGAGGGGGACCUUCGGGCCUCUUGCCAUCGGAUGUGCCCAGAUGGGAUUAGCUUGUUGGUGGGGUAACGGCUCACCAAGGCGACGAUCCCUAGCUGGUCUGAGAGGAUGACCAGCCACACUGGAACUGAGACACGGCCCAGACUCCUGCGGGAGGCAGCAGUGGGGAAUAUUGCACAAUGGGCGCAAGCCUGAUGCAGCCAUGCCGCGUGUAUGAAAAAGGCCUUCGGGUUGUAAAGUACUUUCAGCGGGGAGGAAGGGAGUAAAGUUAAUACCUUUGCUCAUUGACGUUACCCGCAGAAGAAGCACCGGCUAACUCCGUG